GUCACGACCGGCCAGUGCGAGAACUUUGACAGACUGAAUCAUCAAAACAACACAAUAGGUCAAUUAGUCAGCAGAAUUGCGGUGAUUUAGCUAGUGAAGUGAUAAAAGUAUUCCCAACCCACGUUCAGUUCGCACAGUUGCAGUAACCCCAAGAGUUAAAUUUGUAAAUUAAUUAAGUUAGACUUUAAUUUCCGUAACAGCCACGCAGUAAGUGGAAACCUAAGGAGGGAACAGAAGAAUCAAGAAAAACCUAAAAUCAGCAAUCCACAGUACAGUAAGAACCUGAAAUACUAGAAAACACUGAAAAUCCUUUUAGCUGUGCAGUAAUCAACUAAAAGAACGGUGUUUGUUCCGACUUCGGGAACAUUCUAAAAGGAUUUUCAUCCUAAGUUGGAUGAUUGAUUGCUACCCUUGGAAGUUCCUCCAACCGAUAUCCUGUAACCGGGAAAAGAUACACCGCCGGGAAACGAGCCAAUCUAUAAGGUUUGAGAGUACAUUGGUUUUGAUCGUUUGAGUAGAACUGUUGACAAUUAGUCCCGUCAUUCAGUCGCGAGUCCCGUAUAGUUUCCCAACCGGGCUGGUGUAAAUUAACACAGUUGAGUUGCUCCGUUUCUCGAGAUGUCAGAAGAACGUGACAAUACGAAACCGGAAGGCAAUGACAGGCACUGUAAAAGGUGCGACCGUGCCGAUGCGGAUGACGAUAUGGUGUGUUGCGAUAUGUGCGAGUCGUGGAUCCAUUUCCAGUGCGCCGGUGUCAGCGAAUCCAUUGCUGAACCGGAUAGAAGCUUUAAGUGUAGCAAUUGUCUGGCAGACUGGGAUGGUGCGUCGAAGUCGGGUGUGUCAUUCAACGAGUCGUCCGUCAGCAAGAGCAGUCGAGCGUCGCAGAGGUUGCAUCUCAGUUUACAACUUCUAGAAGAGCAACGGAAGCUGAAAAAGAUGCGUGCGGAAGAAGAAAUUAAAACCAGGAAAAUGGAAGAAGCAGCCAAAUUGAAGGAAAUCGAAGAGGAACAGGAAUACUUGAAGCAGAGAUACGAUUUGCUGUUGUAAAUCGGCGAUGAAAAUGAUUCGGCAAGUAGGAAAGGCGGAGUCAGUGUCAAAAAGAAGCGCGAACAGAUGGAG